CCUCCCAGGCCGCCCGAAGCUCCGCGGUCACCACUGAUGAGUCAAAAAUCCUCCGUCCACCUGCCGCCACAAGUCUGGCGUCAUGAUCCCUAAUAAUAAAUCCCCACACCUCCGCAGCUCCCAUCCGCUGAUACGCUGCCAUCAAAGUUCACUUUAAGAAAGCCAGGGGGUGGGGGCACCCAGGAUACUAAUAUCAUCCUGGACGCUGCAGGAGCAGAAUGGGGGCUCCAGAUGUCCCUGACCAACCCAGUAGGUGGAGCCUCAAUAGUGCCGGUGAUCUCCGCCGCAUGCCGUAGAGCUCGGUCCGCCACCAUCCUCGGGUGGAGGCUCUCGCCGUCGAAAAUCCGUGUAUUCCUCUCCAGCUAGCAGUGAUAGGCCAGGUAGGCUUCACGAGUCCCCCUCUCCUCUCGUACAGACCCCCGGAUCGAGGCCUCCAAAUAUCGUAGGAACUCCUCAGUGGACGUCCACAUCUGCCUCUAGUCAAGCUGAGCUGAAGCAUAUCUCCAUAUCUGACUGGCUCUCGGGC
rnacentral:lncRNA from 1 species